AGAGUUUGAUCCUGGCUCAGAACGAACGCUGGCGGCAUGCCUAACACAUGCAAGUCGAACGAGACCUUCGGGUCUAGUGGCGCACGGGUGCGUAACGCGUGGGAAUCUGCCCUUGGGUUCGGAAUAACAGUUAGAAAUGACUGCUAAUACCGGAUAAUGUCUUCGGACCAAAGAUUUAUCGCCUUUAGAUGGGCCCGCGUUGGAUUAGCUAGUUGGUGGGGUAAAGGCCUACCAAGGCGACGAUCCAUAGCUGGUCUGAGAGGAUGAUCAGCCACACUGGGACUGAGACACGGCCCAGACUCCUACGGGAGGCAGCAGUGGGGAAUAUUGGACAAUGGGCGAAAGCCUGAUCCAGCAAUGCCGCGUGAGUGAUGAAGGCCUUAGGGUUGUAAAGCUCUUUUACCCGAGAUGAUAAUGACAGUAUCGGGAGAAUAAGCUCCGGCUAACUCCGUG
rnacentral:rRNA from 1 species